rnacentral:tRNA from 1 species
GGGAAGGUAGCUCAGUGGUAGAGUGCUUGCCUUGAAUGCAUGAGGCCUUGGGUUUGACUCCUCAGUUCCA